GGUUGAAAGUACACUGAGAGAGGACUUUUCGUUAGUGAUCUUAAUAAUUUUUUUUUUCACAUGAAUGUAAUUUUUUCAUCUAAUUGAAUACAAUCUAUUUGUGUAUGAUUGUCAGUCCAAAGAGGGAGAGAGGAAAGAGGGGAACGUGAGGAGAAAGUACAAGGUCAGGAAGAACCAGGUAAGAAAACAGACAGGGAACAGUGACAGGCAAAAGAGAAACUAUGAAACUGACGAAGAGAAAAAACCUGAUUUUACUCAUACAGUCUGGAAGUUGUGUCCUCCCUAUAUUAAAGCUGCUAUCUGCAAAACAAACUGGGUUGAAACAUUUUUGACCCUCUUUAACAACAUUCCAACAUAACAUUAUCAUUGAUUGGGGAGAUUAAAAUGAAUGAUAUAUUUUUAUGUGGUUCAGCCACAACUCUACUAAAACCUCAGCCAGUAAUAGGUAGGCCAACUUUUGGACUGUCCAGUUGUGUGUAUGACUGCCGCAUACAGACCCCCUUAUCAGUGUUUCUCAAACUUUUUACAGUGCACACCACCUGAGAAAAAUGUCAAGCUCUCCCAAGUACCACUAUGAAAGCAUGAAACUCAUAAAUCUUACAACACAAAAUUAGUAUUAUUAAAUUAGUAUCUGCAGUAAAGAUUUUUUCAUACAUUGUAUACAUUCUACCACAGGCAAAGUUGCCUCCAUUUUUAUAGUACUUGUUGACCACCUCCACCUCCUCUCUCUCUAUCUGAACUGUCAGUGGACCUGGUCUGGACCUCCCGAAGUCCACAACCAGUUCCUUGGUCUUUGAAGUGUUGAGUUGCAGGUGGUUUGUGUGACUCCAUGUAACAAAGUUUCUCACCAGACUCCUGUACUCCUCUUCCUGGUCAUCCUAGAUGAGGGGUAGGCAACUCCAGGCCUCGAGGUCCUGGAGGUUUUAGAUGUGUCCAUGAUCCAUCACAGCUGAUUUAAAGGGCUAAAUGGCUCCUCAGCAUUUCUUGAAGUUCUCCAGAGGCCUGGUAAUGAACUAAUCAUUUGAUUCAGGUGUGUUAACCCAGGGUGUGAUCUAAAACCUGCAGGACACUGGCACUCGAGGCCUGGAGUUGCCUACCCCUGUCCUAGAUACACCCCAUGAUGACUGUGUCGUCCACAAACAUCUGAGAUUCAGAGUUGUAGCAGACAUCAGAGGUGUACAGGGUGGAGAGAAGAGGGGACAGCACAGUUCCCUGUGGUGCUCCUGUGCUGCUGACCACAGUGUCAGACGUGACGUCCUUCAGCUUGACGUACUGUGGUCUGUCAGUGAGGUAGUUGGUUUUUAAUAGUAUUCAUUUAUUUCUCCUCUGACUUUGGCCUGGGUCUUGCGGUUCCAGUGAAAGGAAAUCUUAACGCUUCAGGUUACCAAGACGUUUUGGACCAGUCUGUGCUUAAAACACUGUGAGAACAGUUUAGGGAGGGUGUUUUUCCCUUCCAACACGACUGUGACCUAAUGCACAAACAUGGUCCAUAAAGACAUGAUUGAAUGUGUCUGGCAUAGAAGCAGAGUGGCUUGCUUUGAGCCCUGAUCUUAACUCCUAGAUCACCAUUGUGAUGAACCAGAAUGAACCCCUCAGUUUCUUGCACCGUCACAAUGAGGCUUUUUCCACCGAGCCUCUGAAAAACACUGGCAAAGGAGCUCCUCUGGGCUUUUACCACGUCCAGAAUAUUUCUGUCGAAGUUACAGAGUCUUUUAUUGAGAACAUCAAGAGCAAGCCCGUCGUGUUUGAAGUGUUCAGCCACUACCAGCAGCACCCGCUGCACCUCCAUGGCCAGGACGUGAACAGCAUCCAGGAAAUACUAUCCUAUUCCCAUCCGUUGCUUAGAAACUGUCCUGAGGAGACAGCUUCAGGAUCAAUGACAUGUCAUUCACACCAAUGAAGACUUCCAGCCACCAAGUUGAACACCAUCACCAAAUCCAACCUGGGUCAGUGUGUCAGCAAGUACGACCUGCUGGUCUGGUUUGAGAUCAGCGAGUUGGAGCCCACUGGAGAGUGCAUCCCAGCCAUCGUGGAUCACAGUGGAGGCCUGCCCUGCCAUGGUACCUACCUGCUGCACCAGAUCUGUUGUGUCCAAGAAGGGUUUUCUAAGCUUCGUGGAGCCUCGCUCUAACUCAUAGGUGAAGCAUUUUGUGGUUGUUCGCCGGCCCUACGUCUUCAUCUACAACAGCGACAAGGACCCCGUGGAGCGAGGCGCCGUCAACCUCUCCACAGCACAGGUGGAAUACAGCAAAGACCAGCAGGCCAUGCUUAAGAUGCCCAACACAUUUGCAGUGUACACAAAACAUCGAGGCAUCCUCCUGCAGGCCAACAAUGAGAAAGACAUGAACGAAUGGCUGUACGCUUUUAGUCCUCUGCUAGCAGGAAGGAUAAGAUCUAAGCUGGCGAGGCGGCGCAGCGGCCUGACGAAGAACUGAGCGGGCGGAGCGGUUCCACUGUCGUCCACGUCAUACGUAGAUCCUCCUCAAUCUGUGUACAUACGCCGCCUCUAAACCCCCAAUAGUGCCAGUGUCAGUUAGUGAGUCAGUAAAAUACUCAUGCAUUUGUGUUAACAUUAAAACUGCAGACUAACUAGAGACAAACAAGCGAGGAUCGCUUCAUAUCUCAGCAGUUUAAAAAAACAAACAAUGACCAAUUGUUCCUGCAGGAGUAGAUUUGGGCCCCUUUUUGCUUUUUCAUCCCAAGGAAUAAAAACAAGGUUACAAGGAGAUGAGGAGGAGGAGGACUAGGAGGAUGAAAACGAACUAAGGAGAAAACUUGAUUUGUACAUCGGGUGUGUUCUGGGAUCAGUGUGUUAGUUAACCCUCAUUUAACACAUUCCUCUCUGCUCCUCUAGCUUGCUCUAUCUCACUGAGAAUCAGAAGCCUUGACAUUUACUGCUAUUAACUUUACACUCUUGUUGUCAAGACGCAAAGAAAACACAGUGAAAAGGUUAGAAGGACGUAAGGAAAAAAGAAUGAAGGUGCAAUGUUUCUUUAGUUUUUUUCCUUUGACGGCAGUGGUUAGCCAGCAAAGCUGCUUUUAAAUGGCCCGCAGGACAGAUUACGAUGUAGUCCCAUGACUCCCCUCGCUGUCACACCAGCGUCGGCUGAAAUCUCUGAAGUGAAGUACUCGUGUUCAGCUGUCUGUUACAUAUAGAUAAAAAAUAAAGCUCUGACGUGACCUCGGGUCAGCCAGCCUGACAGUCAGAGAAACAGAAACGUGCUGGAUUGUGGAUCUCUGAGCUGCACAUCAAAGAUGCACCUAUGCACAGAUCAAGUCUCAAAAGUGCAAUGUACCUCAUAUACAUGUUGAUGCGAAGCGCUGCCAGAGCAAACGUUUCCACUUCAUUUGCAGAGGUGUUUUUAUUUUGGAUUGUGUAUUUAUUGUUUGCAAUGUAUAUGUAUUUGUUUGCAGCUCUUUGCACAUAUUAAUAAAAGGUUGAACUAACUGAUCAGAUAAAGUCUGUGCGGUUUAGUUGUUCCACUCAUAUUAAACCAAAUGAAAGGAAAAGGAGACCUAACAUGUAACCCCUGCACCUCCACUGAGGAGGUGAGUUACAUUAGUGCUUCCUCUUUAUUAGAAAGUGGUUUGAGUGAAUUAGAAGUCUGUUGU